AAUGGACGCUGGCGGCGUGCCUAACACAUGCAAGUCGAACGAGGCGGAAGGGGGCAACUCCUUCCAGUCGAGUGGCGGACGGGUGAGUAACACGUGGGUAACCUGCCCGGAAGUGGGGAAUACCUCGGGGAAACUCGAGCUAAUACCGCAUGACAUCUUCGGGACGAAAGUCCUGACGAUCAAAGCGGGGUCGCAAGAUCUCGCGCUACCGGAUGGGCCCGCGCCCGAUUAGCUAGUUGGUGAGGUAACGGCUCACCAAGGCUUCGAUCGGUAACCGGCCUGAGAGGGCGAUCGGUCACACCGGAACUGAGACACGGUCCGGACUCCUACGGGGGGCAGCAGUGGGGAAUCUUGGACAAUGGGCGCAAGCCUGAUCCAGCCAUGCCGCGUGAGUGAAGAAGGCCUUAGGGUUGUAAAGCUCUUUUGCCAGGGACGAUAAUGACGGUACCUGGAGAAUAAGCCCCGGCAAACUUCGUGCCAGCCGCCGCCGUAAU
rnacentral:rRNA from 1 species